AUUGAACGCUGGCGGCAGGCCUAACACAUGCAAGUCGAACGAGUGGCGGACGGGUGAGUAAUGUCUGGGAAACUGCCUGAUGGAGGGGGAUAACUACUGGAAACGGUAGCUAAUACCGCAUACCAUCGGAUGUGCCCAGAUGGGAUUAGCUAGUAGGUGGGGUAACGGCUCACCUAGGCGACGAUCCCUAGCUGGUCUGAGAGGAUGACCAGCAACACUGGAACUGAGACACGGUCCAGACUCCUACGGGAGGCAGCAGUGGGGAAUAUUGCGCAAUGGGCGAAAGCCUGAUGCAGCCACGCCGCGUGUAUGAAGAAGGCCUUCGGGUUGUAAAGUACUUUCAGCAGGGAGGCGUUACCCGCAGAAGAAGCAACGGCUAACUACGUGCCAGCCGCCGCGGUAAUUC
rnacentral:rRNA from 1 species